CCUACGUGAGGCUGCAGUGGGGAAUAUUGCACCAUGGGGGAAACCCUGAUGCAGCGACGCCGCGUGAGUGAUGAAGUAUUUAUGUAUUUAAAGCUCUAUCAGCAGGGAAGAAAAUGACGGUACCUGAUUAAGAAGCCCCGUCUAACUACGUUCCAGCAGCCGCGGUACUACGUAGGCGGCAUGCGUUAUCCGGAUUUACUGGGUGUAAAGGGAGCGUAGACGGUGAUGCAAGUCAGAAGUGAAAGCCUGGGGCUCAGCUCCGGGAGUGCUGUUGAAACUGUGGGACUGGAGUGCGUGAGAGGUAGGCGGAAUGCGUGGUGUAGCGGUGAAAUGCGUAGAUAUCAGGAGGAACACCAGUGGCGAAGGCGGCUUACUGGACUGUAACUGACGUUGAGGCUCGAAAGCGUGGGGAGCAAACAGGAUUAGAUACCCUUGUAGUC
rnacentral:rRNA from 1 species